rnacentral:rRNA from 1 species
CACGUAGGGGCCAAGCGUUGUCCGGAUUUAUUGGGCGUAAAGAGCUCGUAGGCGGUUCGACAAGUCGGGUGUGAAAACUCCGGGCUCAACCCGGAGACGCCACCCGAUACUGUCGUGACUGGAGGCCGGUAGGGGAGUGGGGAAUUCCCGGUGUAGCGGUGAAAUGCGCAGAUAUCGGGAGGAACACCUAUGGCGAAGGCAGCUCGCUGGGACGUUACUGACGCUGAGACGCGAAAGCGUGGGGAGCAAACAGG